UGGGGAAUAUUGCGCAAUGGGCGGAAGCCUGACGCAGCGACGCCGCGUGGGGGAUGACGGCCUUCGGGUUGUAAACCUCUUUCAGCAGGGACGAAGCCGGAAGGUGACGGUACCUGCAGAAGAAGCACCGGCCAACUACGUGCCAGCAGCCGCGGUAAUACGUAGGGUGCAAGCGUUGUCCGGAAUUAUUGGGCGUAAAGAGCUCGUAGGCGGUCUGUCGCGUCGGCUGUGAAAACCCGGAGCUCAACUCCGGGCCUGCAGUCGAUACGGGCAGACUGGAGUUCGGCAGGGGAGACUGGAAUUCCUGGUGUAGCGGUGAAAUGCGCAGAUAUCAGGAGGAACACCGGUGGCGAAGGCGGGUCUCUGGGCCGAUACUGACGCUGAGGAGCGAAAGCGUGGGGAGCGAACAGGAUUAGAUACCCCCGUAGUCC
rnacentral:rRNA from 1 species